rnacentral:rRNA from 1 species
GACGAACGCUGGCGGCGUGCUUAACACAUGCAAGUCGAACGGAAAGGCCCUGCUUUUGUGGGGUGCUCGAGUGGCGAACGGGUGAGUAACACGUGAGUAACCUGCCCUUGACUUUGGGAUAACUUCAGGAAACUGGGGCUAAUACCGGAUAGGAGCUCCUGCUGCAUGGUGGGGGUUGGAAAGUUUCGGCGGUUGGGGAUGGACUCGCGGCUUAUCAGCUUGUUGGUGGGGUAGUGGCUUACCAAGGCUUUGACGGGUAGCCGGCCUGAGGGGGUGACCGGCCACAUGGGGACUGGGUACGGGCCCAGACCCCCGGGGGGGGCGGAGGGGGGAAAUGUGGCAAAAGGGGGGGAAGCCUGUGGCGGAAACGCGGGGGGGGGGAUGCGGCCCUUGGGGUUGAAAACCGUUUUCGCCUGUGACGAAGGGUGGGGGGCGGUAUUGGGAAAAGAACCCCCGGCAAACUACG